rnacentral:tRNA from 1 species
GCCUCGGUAGCUUAGUAGGUAGAGCGUGUGACUGUUAAUCACAAGGUCGUAGGUUCGAGUCCUGCCCGGGGCG